rnacentral:tRNA from 6 species
GGUGGGAUGUCCGAGUGGUUUAAGGAGCACGCUUGGAGAGCGUGUAUGGCCGUAAGGUUAUCCCGGGUUCGAAUCCCGGUCCCACCGCCA